AGUGAACGCUGGCGGUAGGCCUAACACAUGCAAGUCGAACGGCAGCACAGUAAGAGCUUGCUCUUACGGGUGGCGAGUGGCGGACGGGUGAGGAAUACAUCGGAAUCUACUUUUUCGUGGGGGAUAACGUAGGGAAACUUACGCUAAUACCGCAUACGACCUACGGGUGAAAGCAGGGGAUCUUCGGACCUUGCGCGAUUGAAUGAGCCGAUGUCGGAUUAGCUAGUUGGCGGGGUAAAGGCCCACCAAGGCGACGGUCCGUAGCUGGUCUGAGAGGAUGAUCCGCCACACUGGAACUGAGACACGGUCCAGACUCCUACGGGAGGCAGCAGUGGAGAAUAUUGGACAAUGGGCGCAAGCCUGAUCCAGCCAUACCGCGUGGGUGAAGAAGGCCUUCGUGUUGUAAAGCCCUUUUGUUGGGAAAGAAAAGCAGCAGGUUAAUACCCCGCUGUUCUGACGGUACCCAAAGAAUAAGCACCGGCUAACUUCG
rnacentral:rRNA from 1 species